rfam:Schistosoma rodhaini strain Burundi genome assembly, scaffold: SROB_scaffold0012403
AUCCGGCUGGCAAGUCCCAAAUAGGACGAAACGCACGUCCUGGAU